GAUGAACGCUGGCGGCGUGCCUAAUACAUGCAAGUCGAGCGAACAGACGAGGAGCUUGCUCCUCUGACGUUAGCGGCGGACGGGUGAGUAACACGUGGAUAACCUACCUAUAAGACUGGGAUAACUUCGGGAAACCGGAGCUAAUACCGGAUAAUAUAUUGAACCGCAUGGUUCAAUAGUGAAAGACGGUUUUGCUGUCACUUAUAGAUGGAUCCGCGCCGCAUUAGCUAGUUGGUAAGGUAACGGCUUACCAAGGCAACGAUGCGUAGCCGACCUGAGAGGGUGAUCGGCCACACUGGAACUGAGACACGGUCUAGACUCCUACGGGAGGCAGCAGUAGGGAAUCUUCCGCAAUGGGCGAAAGCCUGACGGAGCAACGCCGCGUGAGUGAUGAAGGUCUUCGGAUCGUAAAACUCUGUUAUUAGGGAAGAACAAAUGUGUAAGUAACUAUGCACGUCUUGGCGGUACCUAAUCAGAAAGCCACGGCUAACUACGUG
rnacentral:rRNA from 1 species